rnacentral:rRNA from 1 species
UACAGAGGUCUCAAGCGUUGUUCGGAUUCACUGGGCGUAAAGGGUGCGUAGGCGGUCGGAUAAGUUUGAUGUGAAAUCUCCGGGCUUAACCCGGAAACUGCAUUGAAUACUAUUCGGCUUGAGGUCUGGAGGGGGGACUGGAAUUCUCGGUGUAGCAGUGAAAUGCGUAGAUAUCGAGAGGAACACCAGUGGCGAAGGCGAGUCCCUGGACAGGUCCUGACGCUGAGGCACGAAAGCUAGGGGAGCAAACAGG